rnacentral:rRNA from 1 species
AGUGAACGCUGGCGGUAGGCCUAACACAUGCAAGUCGAACGGCAGCCCAGUAAGAGCUUGCUCUUACGGGUGGCGAGUGGCGGACGGGUGAGGAAUACAUCGGAAUCUACUUUUUCGUGGGGGAUAACGUAGGGAAACUUACGCUAAUACCGCUUACGACCUACGGGGGAAAGCAGGGGAUCUUCGGACCUUGCGCGAUUGAAUGAGCCGAUGUCGGAUUAGCUAGUUGGCGGGGUAAAGGCCCACCAAGGCGACGAUCCGUAGCUGGUCUGAGAGGAUGAUCAGCCACACUGGAACUGAGACACGGUCCAGACUCCUACGGGAGGCAGCAGUGGGGAAUAUUGGACAAUGGGCGCAAGCCUGAUCCAGCCAUACCGCGUGGGUGAAGAAGGCCUUCGGGUUGUAAAGCCCUUUUGUUGGGAAAGAAAAGCAGCAGGUUAAUACCCCGCUGUUCUGACGGUACCCAAAGAAUAAGCACCGGCUAACUUCGUG